GUAUAGUUUGGCUGCACAUAUACUAAAAUUGGAACAAUACAGAUCAAAUUAGCAUGACCUCUGUGCCAGGCUGGCACAUAAAUUUGUGGUGCAGUGGUAGUGUGC